rnacentral:piRNA from 1 species
UAAAUACGCCUAACAUGAUAUAACUAUCC